CUACAGAGGGUGCAAGCGUUAUUCGGAAUUACUGGGCGUAAAGCGCGCGUAGGCGGAUGAUUAAGUCAGUUGUGAAAGCCCUGGGCUCAACCUAGGAACUGCAUCUGAUACUGGUCGUCUAGAGUUUAAGAGAGGGAAGUGGAAUUCCAGGUGUAGCAGUGAAAUGCGUAGAUAUCUGGAGGAACAUCAGUGGCGAAGGCGACUUCCUGGCUUAAAACUGACGCUGAGGUGCGAAAGCGUGGGUAGCGAACGGGAUUAGAAACCCCAGUAGUCC
rnacentral:rRNA from 1 species